CCUUGUACACACCGCCCGUCACACCACGAGAGUUUGCAACACCCGAAGCCGGUGAGGUAACCGCAAGGAGCCAGCCGUCGAAGGUGGGGUAGAUGAUUGGGGUG
rnacentral:rRNA from 1 species